GAGAGAAAGAUCUGAUCGUCUUCAAGGAGCAGGAAUGAAGUCACUGAACUUUAAUACACCCUGAAAGGAGGUCAGGGUGGAGAUCAGGAAGGAGACACUCUCUCUCUGGGAAAACUGACAGAUCAGACCUUCAGGAUCUGCUGCUGUUCCAGUGAAAGCUUAAAACAUCUCUGUUCCUGUUCCAAGUUCUCCAGCUGCUGCUGACUUUCACCUCCGUGUCUCCUGGGCUUUGGGCUAUUUUGAGCCACUGAGAGUCCUGAGCCAGGGGAGCCCCUCCUGGUUCCACCAGCACCCAAUAGGCAUAGCUGAGCUCCUGAGUUCCCCUAAAGUUCAGUGUUGGGCGGGGUUCCCUCUAUUUCCUGUGUUUCUUGGAAGCUGGACAGUCUGGACCUGCAGGCAGAGAGGGUGGAAUCAUGCACUAGUGAAACCUAGAACUUUCCCUCAACUUCUGCUUGCACUUGGUGACUUUCUUGUCUUAAAGGGAAAUUAACAGCCUGAAGCCCUAAUGAGAAAGGAAACAGCUGUGUGAAUGGGCAGUACAGCUUAAUGCAGCCUGUGAAUGAGGAUUUCUGUACUGGGAAGAAGGAAAGUAUUGUGAUGUUGCAGUGCAAGAAUGGGAUCCAGGAAAGCAGAGAGGAAGAAGAAAGUGAGGAAUGAGCAUCAGCAGAUAGAUAUGUGUAUGGUAAGUUUCUGUUGAAAGCCGAACAUGGUAUAUGGGGUAAAAGUGAUUGAGGUUUCUGGAGGAAGAGAAGGCUCUCAUGACUUCUGCCCUGACGAUCUCCCAGGCACAGGGGCUGUAGCUCUUCUCUUGCAGAUAGAGGGCAGGUGUUCAGAGCAGCUGAAGAACGUCUCCUGUGGUCAGACAUCUGCAUCACCAAGCUCACUGGGGACCUGCCAGGCUCUUCACUGGUGACAUGGAGGAUGAUGGUCUCCAGCCCCGUCUGCAGACUUAGCUGUGACCUGGCCCAGAUCCAUGGCCUGCCAAAGCAGGAGACCCCCACAAUUCUGCACCUAAUGGGGAGAGUCUUCCUUGUUUUCCUGCCUGAAGGACAGGAAUGCUUUUGGGUUCCCAAGAAGCUGAACCCAAAAACCUCAUGCCACCUCUUUCUCCAUGAGAUGAUCCAGCCGAGCUUUAGCUUCUUCAGCACAGACAGUUGAAAUUCCUCACUGGGCUUGAUCAACAGGAGGAGGAUCUGGAGACCAGUUUGGUGCAGGAGCCUGGGGAAGAAAAGACCUUCCUGGAAAGGAAGACUCCAACCUGACUUUGAAGAAGUCCUUUUGAAGGACCAGGCUACACCUGAAAAGAAAGUACAUUGCUGCUGUGUGUGGGACUUCAUCAGACUGGAAGUUAAGAUGUGAAAGUAGGCUGUGCUUUCCCUGUAGCAUCAACCUCAGAGAAAACCCAGAAGUGGGCAAGGAGACUUGAAGCCAGUCAUCCACAAUUGAGUUUUGCCUAUUUAUAGGUGCCACAAGUUCAAUGUUUCCUCAGUUCAAAGCCAUUUUUGCUUCAGUUGUAAAUGCACUGAGUCAUCUCAGCACAUUGAUUUUAGUCGUAAUUGGAAAUAAUACUUUUGAAUCCAGAGAAACUAUAUUUUUAAAUUUGUAAUAAUUAGAAUUUAUCUAUUAUGAUUGCUGCAUUUACAAAAUUUGUACUUAUGAUUUGGUCAGUUUUUCUUUGGGGGUAUACAAGGUAUAUUUUAACUGUUAGCUUUUACUUAUAAACUGUAAAGAAUCAAAAGUGUUGGGGCAUUCCCACUGUGACACAGUAAAGAAUCAAAGUGUCCUUAAACCUUAAAUCUGACUUAAAAUCAAAAAGGAAUAUAAUUAGUUUUAUUUAUUUCAUUGAUUCUUAACAUAUUUUUAUGCUACAGUAGUUUACUUGUGUUUGUGAAUAUAUUGGUAAAUAAAACAAAGAUACUGCU
rnacentral:lncRNA from 1 species